rnacentral:rRNA from 1 species
UACCGAGUGAGGGCCCUCUGGGUCCACCUCCCACCCGUGUUUAUCGUACCUUGUUGCUUCGGCGGGCCCGCCGCAAGGCCGCCGGGGGGCAUCUGCCCUCUGGCCCGCGCCCGCCGAAGACACCAUUGAACGCUGUCUGAAGAUUGCAGUCUGAGCAAUUAGUUAAAUAACUUAAAACUUUCAACAACGGAUCUCUUGGUUCCGGCAUCGAUGAAGAACGCAGCGAAAUGCGAUACGUAAUGUGAAUUGCAGAAUUCAGUGAAUCAUCGAGUCUUUGAACGCACAUUGCGCCCCCUGGUAUUCCGGGGGGCAUGCCUGUCCGAGCGUCAUUGCUGCCCUCAAGCACGGCUUGUGUGUUGGGCUCCGUCCUCCUUCCGGGGGACGGGCCCGAAAGGCAGCGGCGGCACCGCGUCCGGUCCUCGAGCGUAUGGGGCUUCGUCACCCGCUCUGCAGGCCCGGCCGGCGCUUGCCGACACAUCAAUCUUUUUUCCAGGUUGACCUCGGAUCAGGUAGGGAUACCCGCUGAACUUAAGCAUAUCAAUAAGCGGAGGAAAAGAAACCAACAGGGAUUGCCCCAGUAACGGCGAGUGAAGCGGCAAGAGCUCAAAUUUGAAAGCUGGCCCCCUCGGGGUCCGCAUUGUAAUUUGCAGAGGAUGCUUCGGGAGUGGCCCCCAUCUAAGUGCUCUGGAACGGGCCGUCAUAGAGGGUGAGAAUCCCGUAUGGGAUGGGGUGUCCGCGACCAUGUGAAGCUCCUUCGACGAGUCGAGUUGUUUGGGAAUGCAGCUCUAAAUGGGUGGUAAAUUUCAUCUAAAGCUAAAUAUUGGCCGGAGACCGAUAGCGCACAAGUAGAGUGAUCGAAAGAUGAAAAGCACUUUGAAAAGAGAGUUAAAAAGCACGUGAAAUUGUUGAAAGGGAAGCGCUUGCGACCAGACUCGCCUACGGGGUUCAGCCGGUAUUCGUACCGGUGUACUUCCCCGUGGGCGGGCCAGCGUCGGUUUGGGCGGCCGGUCAAAGGCCCUCGGAAUGUAACGCCUCUCGGGGCGUCUUAUAGCCGAGGGUGCCAUGCGGCCAGCCCGGACCGAGGAACGC